UGUUUACAUCCCUACUCUAUUCAAAUAAGGUGAAACAUCGCGGUGACUCAAAAAAUAAUCAAUUGAUUCAAUUUUAAAAGAAUUUUAAGAAAACAAGAAUUUUAAAGGAGUCGCCACCUAAUUUUAGGAAAAAAUAGGAAACCAUUUAAGUGAUCUACGAAACCAAGAUUCUAGGUAAGGGGUUCAAGUUAUUUCGAAGGAAAGGUGUUAGGCAUCCU
rnacentral:lncRNA from 1 species